UACGUAGGGGGCAAGCGUUGUCCGGAAUCAUUGGGCGUAAAGCGCGCGUAGGCGGCCCGGUAAGUCCGCUGUAAAAGUCAGGGGCUCAACCCUUGAACGCCGGUGGAUACUGCCGGGCUAGAGUCCGGAAGAGGCGAGUGGAAUUCCUGGUGUAGCGGUGGAAUGCGCAGAUAUCAGGAGGAACACCGGUGGCGAAGGCGGGUCUCUGGGCAGUAACUGACGCUGAGGAGCGAAAGCGUGGGGAGCGAACAGG
rnacentral:rRNA from 1 species